rnacentral:lncRNA from 1 species
CCCUAAACCCACGCAACUUCAAGGAUGUAGCUCUCCCAGGGUGGCCAUGACCGAAAAGACAGCCAGCAUCAAGGCUUUCAAGGAUGUAUAGAAAAAGAGCCAUCAUACAUUACUGCUGGGAAUAUAAAAUCGUGCAACCAUUCUGGGAAACUGUUCAGUAGUUCCACCAAAUGUUCAGUCAGAAGUACUAUAUCAUCCAGCAGCCCCAUCACUUUGUAUCUAUCAAACAGAAGUGCAAACAUAUGGCCACAUAAAAACGUGUGCAUGGACAUUCAUACCAGCUUUGCUCAUAAUACCCAAAAAGGAGAAAAAAUUCAAUUGCCCAACAACUGAUGAAUGAAAUAAACAAAAUGUGAAACCUUUGGGAACCUCAGAC